GACGAAGGAUGCAAGCGUUAUCCGGAUUCAUUGGGUUUAAAGGGAGCGUAGGUGGCCUUAUAAGUCAGUGGUGAAAUCUCUGGGCUUAACCCAGAAAUUGCCAUUGAUACUGUAGGGCUUGAGUAUAGUUGCCGUUGGCGGAAUAUGACAUGUAGUGGUGAAAAUACAUAGAGAUGUCAUAGAACACCGAUUGCGAAGGCAGCUGACGAAACUAUAACUGACACUGAGGCUCGAAAGUGCGGGGAUCAAACAGG
rnacentral:rRNA from 1 species